rnacentral:lncRNA from 1 species
CCUGGUUCUGGGAUCCCUCCUUCGCGCUGUCCAGCGCUUCUGCUUCCUGGGGAGCGAGGCGCCCCUUCUCCCAGCCCUGGACCCUCGGCCCUCGCGACCCCAUUUUCUUUGCGGGGAGCCAGGCGCUGCCUCCUCCCAGACGGCUCGAGGCAUCCUUUCUCCCCGCUCUGUCCCCCACGUCCUCUGCAGGGACCCCCGAGGUACCCCCUCCCCAUUCUCCUGGCUGCGCCCCGCAAGGCCCAGGCCUCUAUGACACAGGUGGAGCAAAUCUGAGCCGGGAGACCCUCAGGGCCCCUUCUCAGCGCCCCUUUCCCAGGCGGGAACUCCCCUUUCCAGGCCGCCCUCCGUCCAUGGCUGGCGUGCUCUGAGCGCAGGGAUUCACUGUUCUUCCCCACCUGUCGCACCUGCCGGGACCCAGAAGACGCAGGGAGCCAAGAAACAACUCAGGACAGCCGCCCUGCCCUGGUGGGGCUGAGCGGGGCCUGGGCUGGGAGAACUGACCCCUAUCGUGCCCUAGCGGGGGUGUGGGGGCAGACCAGACCGGAAGCCAGGCUGCCCACCGCCCACCGGAAUCAGUGCCCCCAGAGGUGGACCAGACCCUGCAGGCCUCGGAGAAGGUGGCAGAGAGGCCUCUGGGCGGCCCUACCAGGAAAGAGCCAGCCCCAGCCCCACCCUACCCCUGGCUUUGUUAUAUCGCAUGCCCUUUUGACUAUCUGCCCCACCACUGGACGCUAAGCCGAGGAGGGUCGCACACUUGGCUCGCUUGCCCCACCCCCGAGGCACCUGCCCCUGGUGGGUACACAGUGCUUUUUGUUAAAGAACGGGAGAAGGCUCCGCUGGAAAAGUACCUUACACUCACACCGAGGGCUGCUGUUCCCGGGGAACUCUUUUGAGAAGAGCCCGCUGGGGAAAGGAGGCCUUACCCUGUCCUGGUUCACAGGAUGUGGCAGCAGGGACUGAAAGGGGCACCAGCAGCCGCAGGUGGUGCCCCCCAGGCUUGGGGAUGGGCCAAGUUCCGUCCUCAGAUGCAAGCUGGCCUUUGUCGCCUGCCUUUUCUGGCCACUCAUGCGAUGUUCCACCUGGCUGGCCUCAUGCCUGGCAGGUGGGGAAACCAGGAAAUACUUCAUACUUUAGGAAAAGCAUGGGAUCAGAAGAGGGACUGUAUCUGUGGACCACAGGACCCUGGCGUGCCAUGUUCUCCUGUACUCUGCUGGUAGAGAGGGGCUCCUGUCCCCAGGAGUUGCAGCUGUGUGAAUGGCACCUUCUUGCUUCUGGAGAAGCUCAUCCACACCAGCACCUCAUUUGAUUCCCCACCAAUUAGCCCAGAGAGGUGGGCGGCUUGCCCAGGACGCAGCCCAUGGGCAGAGCCGGCGUGGGGCUGCAGAGGCCCUCCUGCCCACUGGACAGGUUACAUCUUCACGGCCUUAUGUUUGGCUUGUUAGGGUUCCUCCUAUUCUAGUUGGUGUGAAAUAAGAGGUGCGUGAUGAGUUGGAGCAUUACUGCAGAAAACAUAGCCCCAUCUUUUCCCUGUGAGGAAUGGGCAUCCCACAGGUCUGAAUUCCCUCUGGGGCCCUGGCUGCAGCUAUGGCUCAAGGUGGAUGCUGUUUGGCCCCACCCGAGCCCUGGGAAGGUGAUGCUCAGGCUCUGCCACCGUCGGCAACACUGAGGAUACGCAGGGAUGAGGUGCCCUGAUUUGGGGAACAUUACCCUUAAGAUACUAGUGUGAUGUCAUUCCACUUCGCAGUGGGGGGCCCCAGCUUUCAGGCCAGCAUUGAGGACAGGAGCCGUUGCCAUGUGAAAAAGUUAUUUUCCCAAACAAUGAACAAUCCUCAUGAUGUCAUGGGCCCUGCCAGAGGCCCAAAUCCAAUCGGUUCUGGUGCUGGGGCAGCCUCCUGUAACACUAUCCUGAGAGGAUGACUCCGCCUGGGUUGGGGACAGAGAGCAGAGAGGCCGGGGGUCUUCAGGUGGGGCCCCUGCAUGUGUCUGCGUUCACAUUUCAAAGUGGCUUUCACUCAGAGGAAGGUGGAGCUUAGCAAAGAAUUGCGCAGAUCAAGGAGCAGCAGAAAUGGGGGCCUCCCCCUGCAGGAGCAGCCCAUGGGUCAGAAGUGGGGCUGGCAUCGGGGUGAGCCAGGACAUCCCAGGAUGGAAGAACUAAAUGAAUGGCCACAGAACGGGGAUCACUGGAGCAGGAAGUGGCCUCCCCCAUGCGCCUUCACGCCUGGCUGAAAUCUAAUCCUCAUUCUUGGGCCCUCAUGUCACGGCCCGGGCCUGGCUUCCCAGCAGCCUGAUGCAGCCAAGCUGUUCCCACUCUUCUCUCUUCCUCCAGAGGAAGGACCUUUGCCGAUGAAGUCAUGGGAAUAAAACCUCCCUCUGCCCUGAAAACAGUGGGACCGUGAAGUCAGCUUGUUGUGUGGCCUCCAGAGGCCCAGGCGGGUAGCCUUCGCUGUUUACUGGGCCUUGCAAGCCCACGACGUCAUCUAAUUUGCAAAUCGUGUGAUUAUCCCCAUUGCACAGAUGAGGAAACUGAGGCUCAGAUCUUGGGAUUGGCCCAAGGUCACAGAGCCAAUAAAUGAAACCACAUCCAGGUCUGGCCCCUACAACUUGAGGUCAGUUGCUCUGGAGAACCUACAGAUUUAGUUCAGUUCAGUGAGCAUUUGUGCAGUUGUGCAGUUCCCAUGACGUGCCGGCACCAGGCCGAGCACUCGGAAUACAUUGUGGCCUCCUGCAUGGGUGUGUGGGCAGUCUCGGGUCUCUCGGGAGACAAUUCUUUCUCACUCCUGCCCAGAGGGUCUCUUGAGUUUUCUGCUAAUUGUCUACAUGUUUUUAAUAGAUUAAUUAAAAUAAUCAUCUUUAGCUCUCCUCUCAGUUGAAUGCAAUGCCAUUUUGGAAAGAAUCACAUUCUUAAAUGUGACUGUGAUCAAAAUCGUCUUGGCUUCUGAGGGAGUCAUGAUGUCUCCUGGGGUUUGUUCCAAACAGGAUACUUCCCCCAUGGAGAUUCCUGUCCUAGUCUACCUCAGUCUCAGUGACAGCCACACACCUGGCUGCCCUGCCACGUACCUGGUGCUGCAGAGUCCGGGAGAAGCAGCCACACUUCAGACCGAUCAGCUGAUACCACGCCGGGCACUGGGGAGGGACGGUGAAUGACACGGCCCCGGAGGUGCAGCAUCUUUCCUGUGUACGUGGCUGUGCCCUCUCUCCUUAAGCCAUUGGCACAUUCUCCAUCCAUACACAUGCUUUCAGCUGGAUCAACUGAUGGCCCAACCAACUGGAGUAGUGGCCUGUAUCCUUCUGUUUUCUUGCUAUAAAGGAAAAUGUGAGGCUGGGUAAUUUACAAAGAAAAGAGGUUUAUUUGGCUCACAGUUCUGCAGGAUGUACAGGAAGCAUAGUGCCAGCAUCUGCUUCUGGUGAGGCCUCAGGAAGCUUCCACUCACGGUGGCAGGGGAAGGGGAGCAGGUGUGUCACACAGUGAGGGAGCAAGGGAGAGCAGGGGAGGUGUCAGGCUCUUUAACGAUCAGCUCUCCGUGAACGCACCAGCGUUACUGCACCAUGCCAUGCCUGAGGGAUCCGCCCCCAUGAUCUAAACGCCUCCCACCAGGCCCAACUCCAACACCAGCGAUCAGACUCAACAGACUCAACAUGAGAUUCGGAGGGGACAGAUCUCCAAGCUAUGUCAUGGUCUAUACUGACUAUGGAAAACUGUCAGGUGACCAGUCCAUUUAAUUACAGUCACAUGAGGGUGUCAAUGGCCUGAUCCCAGCAACCACUGUCCCUGCCUGAAUAGAGAAGAUGCCAGAUAAUAAAAGGGGCCUGUCUGUGAGGUGUUGGAAAACUCAAGUCCGGUGGAAGUGGCUGGAAGCAUGCCUAGGCCCCAGCUUACUUGGGGACCCGGGGGAGCUGAGAUACAGUUGGCAGUGCUGGGCCUGGCUGAGGGCCCUGUGUGCUCACUGAAGGCUGAGGGGCCUCAGUUUACCCAGCAUCCUCUAUGGGAAAGACAACACGCACCUACCUGGAGGACAUGAGCACAUGGGGCCUGGAGGUGGGUUUCGCCCGCACACCCCUGUGGGCAUUUGCACAUGUUCCAAGGCUACGCGCUCCCCUUUCUAGAAGCCCAUAUUAGCCUCAAGCCUUCUAAUGAGUCCUUGCUGUCCUGGAUUUUGAUGAUGGAAGGGGAUACCUUGGCUGCCCUAUGGCUGUCGCUUGGUGAGUGAGUGCAUUAAUGUCCCUUCGUGCAAAGCUCUCAAGUGGGUGACGUGUGCCGGACCUUCUGGCCGCCGUCCUGGUGCCCUGGCCACCUUCUCCACCUGUUCUGUGUCCCCAGGUGGCCACUACAGCCUGUCAAUGGCCUCUCUUCCCUCUGGGUUCUGGUUGGGCUUGGCCUGUAGGAGGCGCUAGUGGGAGACAGGGGGCAGGCCAGAGAGAGAGGGCAGAUGGACUCUGCCACCUCCUCCCAGCUGGACAACAGGGGUGGUGGCUGCGUUCCCCCGCCAAGGCCCUCUCUCAGCAGCUCCCUGGAGUCUGCGUCUGCCCUUUCCCUUCUCCCAAGACGGGGUGGGGGGGGUGGCACUCCCACUGCUGCUGUCCUGGGAUGCCUCUCCAGCCACUGGGCUCCCUUCACCCUGCCCACAGCAUGGGGAGAGGCCGUCGUGAAACUCUCCUUAGCCACUCACCUCAAUACCCAGCAGACGCCCCUUUCCUCCUGGUGCCCUGAAGGCUGCGAUGGCCCCCUGAAUCAGGAGCCCAGCUGAUCGGACGAGGUGCACUUUGGCACCUCAAAGCUGGGAGCCAGGCCCUGGAGAGGCCCACUCCUUCCACCCGAGGACCGCCCAUAUUCCCAUAGGGUGUGCAAGGGUGGACAGCAGGCGUUGCUCUGGCACGCCGCCCUUUUGGCUACUUUGUGAUCAAAGCCAGCCUAUUUUGACAUUUCAUGUCUUCAGUUUUAUUUUUAUUUAUUUUAAAAUAUUCUUGCAGAAA